CCUACGGGUGGCAGCAGUGAGGAAUAUUGGUCAAUGGGCGAAAGUCUGAACCAGCCAAGCCGCGUGAGGGAUGACGGUUCUAUGAGUUGUAAACUGCUUUUGUAUUGGGGUAAACACCCGUACGUGUCCGGCCUUGCAUGUAUCUUACGAAUAAGGAUCGGCUAACUCCGUGCCAGCAGCCGCGGUAAUACGGAGGAUCCGAGCGUUAUCCGGAUUUAUUGGGUUUAAAGGGUGCGUAGGCGGGUUGAUAAGUUAGAGGUGAAAUACCGGUGCUCAACACCGGAACUGCCGCUAAUACUGGGGAACUAGAGAGUAGUUGCGGUAGGCGGAAUGUAUGGUGUAGCGGUGAAAUGCAUAGAGAUCACACAGAACACCGAUUGCGAAGGCAGCUUACCAAACCAUAACUGACGCUGAGGCACGAAAGCGUGGGUAGCAAACAGGAUUAGAUACCCGUGUAGUC
rnacentral:rRNA from 1 species